GCUCAUCCCACUUGUCCUCUACCCAGGGCCGCUUUCUACUUCCUGCAUGUGACACCUAAUUCACAGUGUCCUCCAACUUAAUUUCUUGUCCAGUGUUGCUUAAGUUCAUCCGGCCAUUUCUCUACUUUUUGCUUCCGGAUAUGAAGGAUGGACCCUUUCUUCCUCCCCAAAGCCUUGCUCCUUUCCAAAGUUUCCUCAUUGUCUUCUGGAGGUCCCCCACCCCCAACUGGGAUCCUGGGGCAAAAGCACUGCCUCUCCUCCCCCUCUUCUGCCUCCUUCCCCUCUCUGCCUGCUCAGCCAAGCUGCUGUGAAGUCGCAUCUCCCUUCCAAGUCUCAGUUCCUUCCAAACAACGUUACAAGCACAUGAAAGCCAAGGCCCAGGCAGUUACUGCCACUGGCACUUUUUUGUGCUUCCUCCAAAGGACGCUUCCCAAAAGGAGCAUGAAAACGUGGGGCAGGAGUGAACCCUCUGGUCUCUGGGUCAGGAUGGUGUCAAAUAUUUGGGGAUGCGACCCUUAAGAAGAAUCAGGGAGGCAGGUUGGAAGGAGUCAAGAGUCAGAAUCCUCAGAAACAAAGCAGAAGACAUCACCAGAAGGAAUCUGAAUCUUUGAUCCCCACUUAUUCCCAGUCUGCAGGAUCCAGAAAAGUUUAUGGUGUACUCCUCUUCGCUUCCCCGCCUGUCCCGGCCCGCACACUUCUCUGCCCACAUCUUGGUGACGUCACCAGCACCGCGGGAAAAUUCCAGAGAACCUCCCCACUCUGGAGCUUCGGGAUUCAAGCUGUCUGGAGUCAGGGCCAAAGUUUCCUACCCUUGUGAGAUGCUUGUAGAAACCUGCACUCGUGACCUCAGGGUCUGCUUCAAGGUAAAGGGGACCUAGGGCAGGAGAGGAGGAGAAUCCAGAUACAGUCUUCUCAAGGUCAGAGAGAUAUCUGCAGGUUGAUGGAGGCCGAGCCACACAUUAAGCUCCCGCCAGUAUGCCCGGUAACCCCUCUCCCCACCAGCGAGCUAGCUGGUAUGCAAACACAUGCUUCUACCUACAGUGUUCCAUACAGAUCUGUUCUGUGUUUCUUGACAUGGUAGGGCCUCUACAGUGUUGAAAAUACUAAAAAGAAGAAGAAGAAGAAGGAAGUAGGAAGAAGGAAGAAAGAAGAAAGAAGAGGGAGAAAGCAACCUAGACUCCACUCACUAUUAAAAGUUAUUUGGCUCUUGCCUAUCUUCCUUUCAGUUUUGGAUCAUGGAUGGCCAGGUUGAGUUUUUUUCUAACUACUGCCAUGAAUGGUGGGUGCAACGUUUUCCCUCCUGCGUUUCCCUCCUGCUUUGCUCCCUUACCGUUUAUUCUGUCAUGCUCAUUUUUCAACGUAAAUUCCAGAAUUACUAUUUUAAAAUUAUGUCCAGGGACGCCUGGGUGGCUCCGUCGGUUAAGCGUCUGGCUCUUGAUUUCGGCUCAGGUCGCAAUCUCCCAGUUCAUGAGUUUGAGCUCCAUGUCGGUGCCUGCUUGGGAUUCUCUCUCUCUCCCUCUCUCUCUGCCCCUCCCCUGGUCUCUCUUUCAAAAAUAAAUAAACUUAAAAAAAAAAAAGGCAAAUAAAAUGAUGUCCAGCAUUUCAUUGACUGGAUACAGCGUAAUAUAUUAAAAUAUUUCCUUGCUGAUAUACAUUUCAGUUGCUUCCUCUGGUCACAAUUAUAUAGAACAUUUUAGUGGAAAUGUUUGUGCACGUCAUGUUUUGCUUUCCUUGAAUUAUUGCCUCAAAAAGUCAUCAGAAAUGAAAAUGGUUGGGAGAGUUUGAUCACCAUAUCGAGUUAGUAUGAAGCGUGGAGUCCCCGUAGGGUUAAAAACACAGGUUUGGCACUUGCUAGCUGUGUAACCUUGGACCAACUGUCUUUGUAAGUCUCAAUUUCCUCCGAAGUGAAAGAAGGCAAAUAGAGUCCCUAAUCCGUGUGGUCGCAGUGAGGACUGAAUUAAACAAAAUACCGUAGAUUCCGUACAUUUGGGCUGUUACUAGGACGCAUCCCAUGGCUGCUGUGACUAUCCUCGCACUCACACUGUUUUUCUGUUCCUUUAGACUAAGCUGACUCAACCCCAUGUGGCUGAAAGUGAAAAUGUUUCUCAAACCGGUUUGCCCCAUAACCCGACGGGUCAAAUUACUUCAGAUCUUGCAUUACUGAUACCUCUCAAUGUGCCCCUUGCUCCCUUCACAAAUGUGUCCGUCCCGAGUCUGAGACUUUGGUCAAAUCUCAGCCCUAACUUGAUCUCUCUCAAGGCUCUUCCAAAGCCUUUUUCGGACCCUGGUCCCAGAUGACCACAGGUGUGUUAAAACGACCCCUUCCCCAUCCUGCAGGACGUAUAAUCCUAUGGGAGCAGGAGACUAGUAGAGGUGAUGUGAGCUUUUGUAUUGAGUUAACUACUUGUCAAUUUCGUGUUUGGGGGUCAAGGUGUAGGGGGUCCAAUGAAUGGUGCCUUUCGCCUUCCUUCCUGAGUUCAGAAUCAAAGAGGAGGUACACUCAGGAGUCAGGUAGACGGAGGUGAGGAUAAUGGCUUUAUUCGCAGGAGAAGCUGAAGAAAAGAAUAAGGCCUCAAUAGGCAGCCACAUAAAUGAACGUGAAGCAUUUCCCCCCCCCCCCCCUCAAAAUAGCCUUCAGGCUUCUGGCACUUGCCAGGGAGCUGAUGGGCCUAGAAGGGACCCCGCUGCAGGCAGGUGCAUCUGAAAGUGACGGAGGGGGAGGAGUCCCAUGGAGAACAUUUGGUCUUCUUCCAAACUCACUGUCAGAAAAGAGAGUGCAAAGGAUGGUCAGAGAGGCCAGGGGUGUUUCUGGCUGCAGUUUCUCGGCAUGGAAAUGUCAGGCCAGGGAACAGUAGGUUUCUUUUUGGACCCAAUAUGUGAUCCCAUACUGGCCCGCGGCACAUGAUGAUGACGGGUCCAGUCUUACCAUUUGGACCUCUCACAGCUACAGUUACACCCACUCUUUCCCUUCUCCUCUCUUCGCCUUCCCCAUGACCCCCCAGAAUAGUCUUUAUCCCUAGGACAGUGGUGACCCACAGCUGGCACCCCCGAGAUAGGGGUGGAGCUCUGACCUUGACGGCUCUUUAAAUUUUUUUUUUUUAAUGUUUAUUUAUUUGUUUUGAGAGACAGAGAGCGCAAGCAGGGGAGGGGCAGGCAGAGAGAGACUCCCAAGCAGGCUCCACGCCAUUGACACGGAGCCCGACUUGGGGCUCAAACCCACCAACCGUGAGACCAUGACCUGCGCCUAUACCAAGAGUCAGACACGUAACGGACUGAGCCACCCACGUGCCCCGGGCAUUGACGGCUCUUGAAUCGUGUUGUCGCAUUGCUUUUCUGUCAAUUUAUAAUUCCAUCCGUCACGUAAUAGGAUUACGUCAGUAACAGCAACAGCAGCAACAAAAACUCCCAAACGAAAAGCAAAAAUCCCAGUUCAAAUUGGCUCAGGCAAUAGAGAUUUUUUAUUUCCCAUCACAAGAAGGUGGUGUUAGCAAUAUUACUCAGUGAUAUCGAAUUCAGGUUCUCUCUUUUUCUGCUCUGCCUGCUGCCCCUUGACUUCCUCCUAACACUGGUCCUGCUCGUGGUCCUCUGGUACACGCUGUACCUAGGCAUCCCAUCCAGGAAUUGCCUCAUCCAGAAAAAGAAAAGGGACCAUGCCGUCUUUGUUUUAUGUUUUAAAUGAGGAGCUCUUCCCUAAAAUACUCCUCACCCCGCACCGGCCCUUACUCAACCAAUCUCUACGCGAGAGGAUGAAGUCCCCAUUAUUGUCUCAGCCCUGUUCAUAGCUAGAGAGGGUGGACACCCUGAGAAACCCGGGGCUCUGACACAAGGGAACGGGGACAACAGAUGUCAGGCGGGCAGCCAGCUAUGUCCACUGCGCAUCACUAGGCAUCUGUUUCAGUGGUUGGGAUUUUAAAGAACCAGUCUCCUUCUAUUUCUGUGUUCUCAUGUCUGAACCUCAAUUUCCUCCUCUGCCUUCUGCACCUUGCAAGGCUGCUGUGAUGAUUGAAACGGCGUGUGUGACUUUAGAGAGUGCUGUGUAAACCUGGCACGCGACGAGCAUGGUGAGCGGAACGUGAGUCUCUCCUACCACCCCUGGGGUGCAACUCCUUCCCGACUUCGACUGUUGUUUGCAAAGCUGGGAUCUCGUCCUUGCGAGCCUGGAGAGUGGAAACAUCUCAUCAUGGUGGUUCAGUGAAGAUGUUUUCGGCUGAUCAGCAACCCCGUGCAGUUCUCCUCCAAGCCGUGACUCAGGGAUCCGGGUUUCUUCCAUCUGGUGGCUUUGCCGUGCCCUACGCCCUCGUCAGUCUUCUCCUGGAGCGGGAGCUCUGCGUUCGGCCAGAUGGCAAGCGAAGAGAGAGCAGGGAAAUUGCACGGGCUGUUUUAGGAUCCAGGCUUGGAAGUGGCAUCCAUCAGUGCCACCCGUGUCCUACUGGCAAGCUACGGUCACACUGCAGCGCUUGGAUGCAACAAGUCCGCAGAUGGUCUCUAUGGUCUUGUGUGGCCGAAAACAAGCUGGUUGGCGCAUACAUACCAAUGUGUCUGUCAUAGUACCUUAUGAAGACAACCCCUCUUAUAACAACCUAGAACACUUAAGCCCACUGAAACAGAGGGAGAGACUGCACACCCGAAGGAAGGCUGGUGAUAGAUGAAACAUCCCUUCGCUGUUCCCAGCACCCCCGUACUGGGUUGGGCUAAUAAAGAGCCAUUUCAAGAUACUCGCA